GUGAGGAAUUUUCCGCAAUGGGCGAAAGCCUGACGGAGCAAUGCCGCGUGAAGGAUGAAGGCCUAUGGGUUGUAAACUUCUUUUCUCAGAAAAGAAUUAUGACGGUAUCUGAGGAAUAAGCAUCGGCUAACUCUGUGCCAGCAGCCGCGGUAAGACAGAGGAUGCAAGCGUUAUCCGUAAUGAUUGGGCGUAAAGCGUCUGUAGGUUGUUUAAAAAGUAUUCUGUCAAAGAUUAGGGCUUAACCCUAGAUAGGCAGAAUAAACUUUUAAGCUAGAGUUUGGUAGAGGCAGAGGGAAUUCCCGGUGGAGCGGUGAAAUGCGUAGAUAUCGGGAGGAACACCAAAGGCGAAGGCACUCUGCUGGGCCAAUACUAACACUGAGAGACGAAAGCGAGGGGAGCAAAUGGGAUUAGAAACCCCUGUAGUCC
rnacentral:rRNA from 1 species